ensembl:snoRNA
AGGGGUGGUCUCCUCCCUUACUCUUUGGGAACUCAGAUUGGCCUUAUGGUGGCCUCUCUUUCCUUGAGGGGCACAACAGGU